rnacentral:rRNA from 1 species
UACAUGGGGUGCAAACGUUGCUCGGAAUUAUUGGGCGUAAAGCGCACGUAGGCGGUUCGUUAAGUCGGAUGUGAAAGCCCUCGGCUCAACUGAGGAAGUGCACCCGAAACUGGCGAGCUUGAGUACGAAAGAGGAUCGCGGAAUUCCCGGUGUAGAGGUGAAAUGCGCAGAUAUCGGGAGGAACACCGGUGGCGAAGGCGGUUCUCUGGGCCUGUACUGACGCUGAGGAGCGAAAGCGUGGGGAGCGAACAGG